AUUGAUUAGGAGUUUAUAAACGUAUUAAUUUUAUUAACAUCUUUACUGUGCCGAGAUUAUUCGCGUGAUUUUUCUACCACGUCUAUUCUCUAGAAAAUUGAGAAAUUUAUAGAUACGAAUAAUUAUCUAACCGUGAUAAGAUGAAAAUUUUACCCCACCAUCACCGAAGUUAUAACAGCGCAGGAACGUUAGAACAAACAUACCUUUGUUGAAACAAUAAUAUAAUAGGAAAAUUCUACCCUAAAAGUCAUCGCUGCGCAAGAGCAGUUAAAAAAUUACUUAAAAAUGAUAAAAAUGCUGAAAUCAGAUCGUUGUAAUUUUAAAAUGUAUUGAUUAGAUGAAUUAUUCCUUUUUUACACAUGCGCAACGUUCGAAAAGUCAUUUAAUAAAAGUACGUACAUAGAAAACAAAGGCUCAUUUCAACCGCAGAUUUCGAAGAGGACAGUGCAUAGAUCAUACAUUCCGAGCACUUAGACAAAUAAAAAUAUUUCUAUCGAUUAAUUAACAAUUAUUUAAAUAAUCUAAUACACUCUUUUUAUAUUUCACAUUGUUUAAACAUAUAUGUACUAGUAUAAGAAUUACAUACAUAUUAACAUGUUUUAAAUAAUAAAUGAUUUCGAUAUGAAA